rnacentral:rRNA from 1 species
UGGGGAAUAUUGGGCAAUGGGGGCAACCCUGACCCAGCAACGCCGCGUGAAGGAAGAAGGCUUUCGGGUUGCAAACUUCUUUUACCAGGGACGAAGAAAGUGACGGUACCUGGAGAAAAAGCCACGGCUAACUACGUGCCAGCAGCCGCGGUAAUACGUAGGUGGCGAGCGUUAUCCGGAUUUACUGGGUGUAAAGGGAGCGUAGACGGUGAGGCAAGUCUGAUGUGAAAGCCCGGGGCUCAACCCCGGGACUGCAUUGGAAACUGUCAGACUAGAGUGCAGGAGAGGUAAGUGGAAUUCCUAGUGUAGCGGUGAAAUGCGUAGAUAUUAGGAGGAACACCAGUGGCGAAGGCGGCUUACUGGACUGUAACUGACGUUGAGGCUCGAAAGCGUGGGGAGCAAACAGGAUUAGAUACCCUGGUAGU